rnacentral:misc_RNA from 1 species
UAAGUUGGCAUCUUUUCUACACUCAAGCAUGCAAGUGGAUUAAAUAUUUAUGUCUCAGCCUUAGGCGUAGGUGACUGGAAAUUGAAAAUUGUCAGUUUUUUUUUAUUUUAAUUCUUGAUUCAUGCAAUUAUUAUUUGGGGAUCACAUUGCAAAGUGCAUAAAGGUUAAACAUUUGGAUUUAUGCUGAUUAUAUCCAUCUCUUUGACCAACAAAUAUAGUCAGUAUGUGUCCUAUUCCUUCCCGUCUGUAUUGGUUUGACUCUGCUACAGCUUUAUUGGGAUUGUGAAAGAUGCCAUGGAUAUGAUCAAAUCAAAAUAAAUUUCUUUCCAUGUUUAAUCAUUUUGCCUUUGUAAUGCACGAGCUGAAUGAAAUUUUAUUUCGCUGUUGCUGGCCAAUGUGUAUUGUUGAAAUAAGUGCGCCAGAAAUUCAGCUGUUUUGUAACUAUUGUUUUAGGUCAACUGUUAGUUUGUUAAUUGUGAACCAUUCGUCUGUUUCCAAUUUCAGAUGAAGCUGCAAGGGGAGAAGACUGGACGUAAGGGUCAUUUAUCUAUUGCAACUGAGAUCUUUGAGGUGGCCCCUUCUCUUUAUAUGGUUGAACUUCGCAAAUCUGGUGGAGAUACCCUAGAAUUUCACAAGUUCUACAAGAACCUGUCAACUGGACUAAAAGAUAUUGUUUGGAAGACAGUUGAUGAAGAAAAGGUGCAGAUAAAUGGUGCUGCUGUGGUACUGGCAUGAGUUGCGUAGAGCCGUAGGGCAGCUCUUCUCCAUAUGGAUUAUUCAAAAAGAUUGUCAUCUAGCUCGCAGUGCUGAUAUAUAGAUUGUUCCAAAAAGGAUCAAACUUCUGUUUUAUUUUGCCUUAGUUGGAACUUUGUUAUCAAGAACUUAGUCAUGUAUACCUUGGCUUAGCUUGAAGCAUUCUUCAUACCUUGGGAGAAUACAUAAAUAUAUUCUGAUUUGCGAGGAAGGUCUCUCCCUCUCCCUCCCUCGUCAUUUUCCAUGGUUUCAUCCCUGCGUAUUCUCUUAAAAAUUGUAGUAUGUUUAGAGAUUUUCUUUUUGUGCAAGCAGGUAGGAGUACAAAUAUAUCUUCGUCAUCUUUUCUAAUUAAUUUAAUAUUAUUGCUAGAGGUAA